GACGAACGCUGGCGGCGUGCUUAACACAUGCAAGUCGAGCGAUGAAAUCCCUUCGGGGAUGGAUUAGCGGCGGACGGGUGAGUAACACGUGGGCAACCUGCCUUAUAGAGAGGAAUAGCCAUCCGAAAGGAUGAUUAAUACCUCAUAAUAUUGUAGCUUCGCAUGAAGCAACAAUCAAAGGAGCAAUCCACUAUAAGAUGGGCCCGCGGCGCAUUAGCUAGUUGGUGAGGUAACGGCUCACCAAGGCGACGAUGCGUAGCUGACCUGAGAGGGGGAUCGGCCACAUUGGUCGUGGGCCACGGCGGAAACCCCUACGGGAGGGAGGAGUUGGAAAUCUUGCACAAUGGGGGAACCCCUGCUGCAGUCACGCCGCGUGAGUGAUGACGGCCUGCGGGUUGUAAAGCUCGGUCUUCAGGGACGAUAAUGACGGUACCUGAGGAGGAAGCCACGGCUAACUACGUGCCAGCAGCCGCCGUAA
rnacentral:rRNA from 1 species